GAUGAACGCUGGCGGCGUGCUUAACACAUGCAAGUCGAACGGAAAGGCCCAAGCUUGCUUGGGUACUCGAGUGGCGAACGGGUGAGUAACACGUGGGUGAUCUGCCCUGCACUUCGGGAUAAGCCUGGGAAACUGGGUCUAAUACCGGAUAGGACCACUUCUUGGAUGUUGUGGUGGAAAGUUUUUUCGGUGUGGGAUGAGCUCGCGGCCUAUCAGCUUGUUGGUGGGGUAAUGGCCUACCAAGGCGUCGACGGGUAGCCGGCCUGAGAGGGUGUACGGCCACAUUGGGACUGAGAUACGGCCAAGACUCCUACGGGAGGCAGCAGUGGGGAAUAUUGCACAAUGGGAGCAAGCCUGAUGCAGCUACGCCGCGUGGGGGAUGACGGGCUUCGGGUUGUAAACUACGUUCGCUAGGGACGAAGCGUUUUGUGACGGUACCUGGAGAAGAAGCACCGGCUAACUACGUG
rnacentral:rRNA from 1 species